GAUGAACGCUGGCGGCGUGCCUAAUACAUGCAAGUCGAGCGAACGGACGAGAAGCUUGCUUCUCUGAUGUUAGCGGCGGACGGGUGAGUAACACGUGGAUAACCUACCUAUAAGACUGGGAUAACUUCGGGAAACCGGAGCUAAUACCGGAUGAUAUUUUGAACCGCAUGGUUCAAAAGUGAAAGACGGUCUUGCUGUCACUUAUAGAUGGAUCCGCGCUGCAUUAGCUAGUUGGUAAGGUAACGGCUUACCAAGGCAACGAUGCAUAGCCGACCUGAGAGAGUGAUCGGCCACACUGGAACUGAGACACGGUCAGGACUCCUACGGGAGGCAGCAGUAGGGAAUCUUCCGCAAUGGGCGAAAGCCUGACGGAGCAACGCCGCGUGAGUGAUAAAGGUCUUCGGAUCGGAAAACUCUGUUAUUAGGGAAGAACAUAUGUGUAAGUAACUGUGCACAUCUUGACGGUAACUGAUCAGAAAGCCACGGCUAACUACGUG
rnacentral:rRNA from 1 species